ensembl:snoRNA
AUCCUUUGGUAGUUCAUAAGUGUGAUGACUGGGUUUUCACUUUCAUGCGUAAGAUGUGCCUCCCUCAAACCUUGUUACAACAUUGGCACAUUACCCUUGUGAUG